rnacentral:rRNA from 1 species
CCCUUAGAUGUUCUGGGCCGCACGCGCGCUACACUGACGAAUGCAACGAGCUUAUAACCUUGGCCGAAAGGUCUGGGUAAUCUCCAAAUUUCGUCGUGAUGGGGAUAGAUUAUUGCAAUUAUUAAUCUUCAACGAGGAAUUCCUAGUAAGCGCGAGUCAUCAGCUCGUGCUGAUUACGUCCCUGCCCUUUGUACACACCGCCCGUCGCUCCUACCGAUUGAAUGGUCCGGUGAAGCGUUCGGACCGUGGCCUUUGGACGGUUCGCCGUCUGUUGGCUGCGGGAAGUUCGUUAAACCUUAUCAUUUAGAGGAAGGAGAAGUCGUANCA